AGAUCAUAUUGAGGGCAAUUUAUGAGCAAUCCCUUGCAUCUUUCCUAAACUUCACAUAAAGACUCGCCAUUUUCUUGAUGAAGGUUAACAAUAUUUUGCUUGAAACU